rnacentral:lncRNA from 10 species
CGCUGUUUCCGGCUUCUCCUUCUACCCAGGUCCCUCCCUGGAGCUCUGACGACACAGAGAAGAGAAAGUGGGCUGGAGGAGGAAGAGGAAGAAAGUGGGGGCACCCCUCCUGAGACUGUGGUGGGAACCAGCACAAGCCGGAGCUGCUGCCUGCAGAUUCACAAGGGGCAAGUUUGAAUACGAAUCUGCUGUGUUCCUAUCUGCCAAGUUCCUAUAUGUUUCUGGGGUAAACACUGAGACACGCCAAGAAACAAACACACACAUGCACAACUUCCCUGACCACAAGACUACACACACACACACACACACACACACACACACGUGCAGGCAGGCUCACAAACAGAGCCCAUUGCAAUCACAACACCACACACACACACACACACACACACACACACACACACACACAGUCUUGCUCAACUUCUGAGUCAUCAACAUAACUAGUGGAGGGUUCUGCAGUUUUUGCUGGGGGAGGAGCUGGAGGAGACCAAGGGAUCCAGAGAGGCCUUUACUCCCGGACACCUGAGAGCCCCGGUGUGUGGAAGAGGUGGUGUCUGAGGGGCGGUGGGAGGAAGUUUCUACUCCCCUCCUCCCUCCCAUAGCAGGGGCUGGGCUGAGGGGCCAAAGCUAGGCCUAUGCUGCCCCCUGGUGCCUGAAUUGAUUUCCAGAACCAGCUCCUCCUCCUCCAUCCCUUGCUACCCCGCAGGUCUGUACAUGAGUGCACGUGUGUGGACCCAGCCAGGCAGCAGAGGGUUUGAACACAGCAAAAUAUAGCAGUUAAAAGACUGGACUGUGGAUACAGGCUGCUUGGGUUCAAAUCCUGCUAAUGCUGCUAACCACACAACCCUGAGCAAUUUACUCUGUGAUUCAUUCUCGUCAUCUGUAAAAUGGAGCAAAUAAGUCUUAACCCAUAAUGUGAGAAUAAAAUGCAGUAAAACAUCUGAAGGCUUAGAACAAUGCCUGACACACAGUAACUGUCAGGCACUAUUUUUAUGGUUCAUAAUAAACCAGGUAUGAGGAAAGGAGAAGGGUCUCCAUCCUACAUAGAAGUCCCCAGAUUUGGGGGUCAUGUUACUGCCAAAAGGAUAUUGAGGGUGUAUGUGCGUAUGUGUUUGCU